rnacentral:antisense_RNA from 1 species
CAUAGGCGUUAAGGGUACGCUGGCACAGCGCCGAACGCACGCAGUCCUGCUUGCCGAAAGAGACCACGCCUAUCAUCUCGUCCUCGGAAAAACGCUCCAGCGCAUCGCGCAGCCCGGAUUUCACUCCCGCGGGCAAAUCACACUGCGUAACAUCGCCAUUGACGAUUACCGUCACAUUUUCCCCCAAACGCGUC